rnacentral:tRNA from 1 species
UGGCUCAGUUGGUAGAGCGUGUGACUCUUGAUCUCAGGGUCGUGAGUUUAAGCCCCAC